GAACGCUGGCGGCGUGCUUAACACAUGCAAGUCGAACGCGAAAGGGGCUUCGGUCCUGAGUAAAGUGGCGCACGGGUGAGUAACGCGCAGAUAACCUGUCUUCGAGUCUGGAAUAAUACACCGAAAGGGGUACUAAUACCGGAUAUUCUUGCAUUUCAUAAGGAGUGUAAGCAAAGGUGGCCUCUGCAUAUGCUACUGCUUGAAGAGGGGUCUGCGUACCAUUAGCUAGUAGGUGGGGUAAUGGCCCACCUAGGCGACGAUGGUUAGCGGGUCUGAGAGGAUGAUCCGCCACACUGGCACUGGAACACGGGCCAGACUCCUACGGGAGGCAGCAGUGAGGAAUAUUGCGCAAUGGGGGCAACCCUGACGCAGCGACGCCGCGUGAGUGAGGAAGGCCUUCGGGUCGUAAAGCUCUGUCAAAGGGAAAGAAAUGUAUAAUGGCUAAUACCUGUUAUAUUUGACGGUACCCUUAAAGGAAGCACCGGCUAACUCCGUGCCAGCAGCC
rnacentral:rRNA from 1 species